rnacentral:rRNA from 1 species
CAGCGCGGUAGCUUGCUCCCUGGCGGCGAGAUGGCGGACGGGUGAGUAAUAGCGUAGGAAUCUACCUUGUAGUGGGGGAUAACCUGGGGAAACUCGGGCUAAUACCGCAUGACAGAAGACAGAAGACAGAGGACCGAAGACAGAUCAUUGUGUCGUUUCGCGACAAAUUUUCAAAAUUUGUCCGCAGUCACACACAAUCAGCUGUCUUCUGUCCUCUGUCUUCUGUCUUCUGAAAGCGGGGGAUCUUCGGACCUCGCGCUGUAAGACGAGCCUACGUCGGAUUAGCUUGUUGGUGGGGUAAUGGCCUACCAAGGCGACGAUCCGUAGCUGGUCUGAGAGGACGAUCAGCCACACUGGGACUGAGACACGGCCCAGACUCCUACGGGAGGCAGCAGUGGGGAAUAUUGGACAAUGGGGGAAACCCUGAUCCAGCAAUGCCGCGUGUGUGAAGAAGGCCUUCGGGUUGUAAAGCACUUUCGGUGGGAAAGAAAUUCUCAAGGGUAAUAUCCUUGGGCGUUGACGUUACCCACAGAAGAAGCACUGGCUAACUCUGUGCCAGCAGCCGCGGUAAUACAGAGAGUGCAAGCGUUAAUCGGAAUCACUGGGCGUAAAGCGCGCGUAGGUGGAUGUUUAAGUCGGAUGUGAAAGCCCUGGGGCUUAACCUAGGAAUUGCACCCGAUACUGGGUAUCUUGAGUAUGGUAGAGGGAAGUGGAAUUUCCGGUGUAGCGGUGAAAUGCGUAGAUAUCGGAAAGAACACCAGUGGCGAAGGCGACUUCCUGGACUAAUACUG